rnacentral:tRNA from 1 species
GUUUUUGUAGUUGAAUACAACGAUGGUUUUUCAGGCCGUAAGUCUCGGUUAGAGUCCGGGCAAGAAUU